rnacentral:rRNA from 1 species
GAUGAACGUUGGCGAUGUGCCUAAUACAUGCAAGUCGAACGGAGAUCAUAAAGUAGUAAUACCUUGUGAUUCUUAGUGGCGAACGGGUGAGUAACGCGUUGGUGACCUGCCCCGAAGUGUGGAAUAACAAUUCGAAAGAAUUGCUAAUACCGCAUGUGAUUUUAGAGACUAGCUGCUCUUUAAUUAAAGGAUUUAUUCGCUUGGGGAGGGGCCUGCGUCCCAUCAGCUAGUUGGUAAGGUAAUGGCUUACCAAGGCUAUGACGGGUAGGGGACCUGAGAGGGUGGCCCCCCACAAUGGAACUGAAACACGGUCCAUACACCUACGGGUGGCAGCAGUAGGGAAUAUUAGUAAUGGGCGAAAGCCUGAACUAGCAACACCGCGUGUGCGAAGAAGGCCUUCGGGUUGUAAAGCACUUUUCGGGAGGAUGAGGAAGGACGGUACUCCCGGAAUAAGUCUCGGCUAACUCCGUGCCAGCAGCCGCAGUAACAC